CGUUGGCUGCGACUUGCGGGGAAGAACCGCUGCGCGGUGCCUUCCGGACUUCGUUUCCACAUCCCCGCUGUAAAUCUGUGCUCUGCGCGCGCUGGCCGCCAGCCGGGAAAAGAUCUGGCUGCGUGUGGGAAAAGAUAGUAACCUAGAAACAGGCCAUCCUCAACAAGUACAAUAAUAGGUAUAGACAGUGUCUCUUGACUCCCAGUUUUAAAAGAUGAAGAUGCCAGCAUCUCUAACCUUCCACAGUCCCACUUUACAGAUGAGAAAGUGGAGUCCAGAGAGGUUAAGCAGCUGGUAACCAGAGGAGCUGGUGUUGCAGCCCUGGAGCCUGAACUGUUAACAGCUGGACAGUGAGAGCCGUGACUAAUGUUUCACCACCUGGGGAAAGCAAGGAAGAACACUGUGGGGUUGAAUUGGAAAUGGCUGUAUUGGCACAAAGCCAUGUCGGGAAGUAGAGCAUGCAGACAAGGUUGGCACAGGCAGAGAACUCAAAGGAGAGAGCAGAGGCCUAAGA